rnacentral:tRNA from 1 species
GUUUCCGUAGUGUAGCGGAUUAUCACGUUCGCCUCACACGCGAAAGGUCCCCAGUUCGAAACUGGGCGGAAACA